rnacentral:ncRNA from 1 species
UUAUUUAAUAUGUAAAUAUUAUAUUAAAAAUUUAUUUGCAGUUUUUAGUUUUAAAACAUUAUUUAAGUAAGUUUUAGUAAUUAAUUAUAGAUUUAAUAAAAUUUGUGCCAGCAAUUGCGGUUAUACAAAUAAUUCAAUUGAAAUUUAUUGGUUAAUAAUUAAUUUGUUUUAAUUAAUUUAUUAUUAAAAUUUUUAAGUGAAAUUUAAAUUUUAAUAUAAUUUUUUUGUUUAUAUUUGAAGUUAUUAAAAUUAAUAUUAAACUAGGAUUAGAUACCCUAUUAUUAUAAUUGUAAAGUUUAAAUACCAGAUUAGUAUUAGUUGUUUUCUUAAAAAUUAAAGGAUUUGGCGGUAUUUUAGUCUAUUCAGAGGAACCUGUCCUGUAAUCGAUAAUCCACGAUUAGAAUAACUUUUCUUUUUCUUGUAUAUCGUUGUUUUUGAAUAUUUUAUAAGAAUUUAAAUUUUCAAUAAGUAUAUUUUAGUUAAUUUCAGAUCAAGGUGCAGUUUAUAGGAAAGAAGAUGAUGGGUUACAUUAAAUUUAUUUUUGGUUUAAUAUUUUGAAUAAUAUUAUUAAAUUGGAUUUGAUAGUAAUAUUUUAUAUAUUUAUUAUAUGAUUUUAGCUCUAAAAUGUGUACAUAUUGCCCGUCGCUCUCAUUUAUUUGAGAUAAGUCGUAACAAAGUAGAUUUACUGGAAAGUGAAUCUAGUAUU